GACGAACGCUGGCGGCGUGCUUAACACAUGCAAGUCGAACGGAAAGGCCCUGCUUUUGUGGGGUGCUCGAGUGGCGAACGGGUGAGUAACACGUGAGUAACCUGCCCUUGACUUUGGGAUAACUUCAGGAAACUGGGGCUAAUACCGGAUAGGAGCUCCUGCUGCAUGGUGGGGGUUGGAAAGUUUCGGCGGUUGGGGAUGGACUCGCGGCUUAUCAGCUUGUUGGUGGGGUAGUGGCUUACCAAGGCUUUGACGGGUAGCCGGCCUGGGAGGGUGGCCGGCCACAUUGGGACUGAGAUACGGCCCAGAAUCCUACGGGAGGCAGCAGGGGGGAAUAUUGCACAAUGGGCGGAAGCCUGAAGCAGCAACGCCGCGGUCGGGAUGACGGCCUUCGGGUUGUAAACCGCUUUCGCCUGUGACGAAGCGUGAGUGACGGUAAUGGGUAAAGAAGCACCGGCUAACUACGUG
rnacentral:rRNA from 1 species